AAUUGGAAUAGGUAAAAUGUUGAUUGCAUAUGUUGCUAUUGAAACUGUGAAGUCAAAUAAGCAUGGCUUAUGCAGACAUGUGAUAGAGAUAGUGGAA